rnacentral:rRNA from 1 species
UACAGAGGGUGCAAACGUUGCUCGGAAUUACUGGGCGUAAAGCGCGUGUAGGCGGACCAGCAAGUCAGGCGUGAAAUCCCUAGGCUCAACCUAGGAACUGCACCUGAAACUUCUGGUCUGGAGUAGUGGAGAGGAAAGCAGAAUUCCUGGUGUAGAGGUGAAAUUCGUAGAUAUCAGGAGGAACACCGGUGGCGAAGGCGGCUUUCUGGACACUUACUGACGCUGAGACGCGAAAGCGUGGGGAGCAAACAGG